AUGCAAGUCGAGCGAUGAAAGUUUCUUCGCGAAAUGGAUUAGCGGCGAACGGGUGAGGAACACGCGCAGAAUCUGCCCUCCACUUUGGGAUAACACCGGGAAACCGGUGCUAAUACCGAAUAUUGAAACAUAAGUGGCAUCACUGAGUUUUGAAAGAAUUUCGGUGGAGGAUGACUUCGCGGCCUAUCAGCUAGUUGGUGAGGUAAUGGCUCACCAAGGCAACGACGGGUAGCCG
rnacentral:rRNA from 1 species